GGCACCCUGCAGGUCGGUGAGGUCCUUGCGCAGGCUGUCCAUGCAGGCCUGACUGCCCAGCAGGGCACAGAGGCCCAUAUCUCACAAACGUGUCCCAGUGACAGCCUCUCAGGAGACAAUGCCAUCCAUGAAAUGUCCCCAAGGAAUGAGGCAGAAACAAACAGAAAAAACAAAUUGAAACAUUCUGGGUUUUCUUCCUGGAAUAGGAAGAAGGAAAUAAAACAAGAAAUCCCACCCUGGGAAGAGGGCUUUUCAGGUGGCAAAGCACCUGGAACUCAGGAGCUUGCUUGUGAUGACCUGCUCACCCUCAAAUAACUACAGCUGCCAUCUGGAGCCCCCUGAGGUACAAGCUCCUGUUAGAUUUUGGUUCUGAUGAGCAGCAGCAAAAAACAUCAAGAAUAUACAAGUGGAAAAAAAAACACUAAAAAAACA